AGGCUGAAACCCGCCUCCAUGAAGUUGGAUUCGCUGUAAUCGCGCAUCAGCCAUGGCGCGGUGAAUACGUUCCCGGGCCUUGUACACACCGCCCGUCAAGCCAUGGGAGCCGGGGGUGCCUGAAGUUCGUUACCGUAAGGAUCGACCUAGGGCAAAACUGGUGACUGGGGCUAAGUCGUAACAAGGUAUC
rnacentral:rRNA from 1 species